rnacentral:snoRNA from 11 species
UCACCAUGAUGAUUGUUGGUAACCAUUUGCAGUUUCCACCAGAAAGGUUUUCCUUUGUGUUGGCUAAUCUUUCCUUGGAUGCCUGAGUGA